UGGGCCCAUGCACCAGAAGACUUCUUGCGGAGAUAAGGAAACCUGGCCUGAUCCUAGGAGACCAGAGGACACCCGUGUCAGCCGUGGUGACAACGAGGCUCUACAGAGGGCGGACUCUGUGCCUUACACUUUGCUAGGGGCUUGAUCAUAUUUCGUCAAAUGUAAUCCUUCCAGAAACCUCAGAGUGAAAGCACUGGGUGAAGCCUGGGGUGGCAUCUACAGACAUCUUCCAUGUUCUUCUGGAUGGACCCCACAUUUCCUCAGGGGCUGAUGAAAGCAGCUACGUGACCAAGACACCAAAAGGAGGUGGCCUGGAGAGUGGAAAGGUAAUGCCACCGGAGUGAGAAGACAAGGAGUCUAGGCUCCGAUGGGCUUCUGGCCAGCUUGGGCCUAAUUUUCACCCCCUAAAUUUCUCUUUCCCUGUGAGCAAAACAAGAAUGACAAUAGGCUGCAUUGAUGCGGCCCAAAUAAUGAGCUGGGACUGCUCUCAGUGCUUUCCAGACACUCUCUUUCUCUUCACCCCCAGAACCUUGUCACUAUCCCUACUGCAGAUGGAGACACUGAGUGGAGAGUUUCAGUCACUUGCCCCUGGUCAGAAUUUGAGCCCAGGGAGGCCAGCUCCAGUCUGCGCUCCUAGCCACUGAGCACUGAUCUGCCUUAGGCAUCUGCAGGGGUCCUGCUGGGCCACCGAGGACCCUUAGCGCUCUGGUUCUCCAAGUGGGGUCCUUGAGCCAGCAGCACCCGGGAACUUGUUAGAAAUGCAAAUUCCCAGGCCUCAUCACAGGCAACUAGAUCAGGCACUUCGAGCGCCUGGGGAUGUGACCCAGCCAUCUGUAACGAGUCCUCCAGAGAAAUCUGAAGCUUGCUAAAGUUUGAGAACCACUGUUCCAAAUGUUCUCUAAGGUUCUUUGCAGAGCUGAGCUAAGAAGGAGGCAGGGCCAGAAAUGCAGGAUAUGACACAGGUGAGGCAAGGGGGACUCAGGGCCAUGGGGACGUGUUUCUUAGUAGACAGGCAGGUGUCUGUCCUGAUGUGGCCAUUCUUCUCCCAGGAACGAGCCCAAGGGCAUGCUCUAGACAUGCAGGGUCUGUGAGGCCAGCCAGAGGCAGAACUGACCAGAACACAGGAACCACGGGUUUGAGGUGUAAGCAAUGGGGGAAACACAGCAGAUGUCACCCCUCCCGCAGCCUGGCCUUGCCAGGGCUGCUUGCAUGGCCCUUGACUCUUUCUACCCCAAGAUCCCAGCUUCGGUUACAUGAAAGAAAGGAACAGCCUUCCCAAGUGGGGGAAGUCCCACCAAGACCACUCAGAAGCAGAAAGUCACAGAGGUUCACCCGCCAGUCAGAAGGGCCCUAUGGAAAGACAGCACCCAAAACACGUGCUCCCUGUGAGAAAUGCACUCUACAGGGCCCAUCCUGAAAGAAAAAAAAUUUUUUUAAAUUUUUUGUAGAGAUGGGGUCUCACUGUGUUGCCCAGGCUGCUCUUGAACUCCUGGGCCCAAGCAAUCCUCCCGCCUCGGCCUCCCAAAGUGCUGGGAUUAUAGGCAUGAGCCAGGGCACCUGGCCAGAAAAUGAAUUUUUUUUAAAAAACAGAGAGAAAGGAGCCAGGCUGCCCAGAGAAGGGGUAUCCUGAGAAAGAGCCUAACCCCUCGGGCUUCCUGGGUAGGGAGGGGGACCCAGAGCUGUGGAGAGUUAAUGAAAAUUCCCCCUGAGAAGAGAAUUUUGAUGAGAGGAGACAGAUGGGGGUUUCCACUGGAUGCAUCCUUCCCACUCCCCCUCCUGCGGAGCAUUCUGACAAACAGCGUGGCCAAACAGCCUCCCCAGCAGCAACCAGUUGGCCAUCCUAGAGAAGCUGGGACCAGAUCAGUAACUCAUCCCCUUCCAUGAGUUUCCUUCCUUCCCUCCUCAAUCCCUUGAGCUCUCGCUCUGGCCUCUCUGGGAUUUUCACGUACACCCCAGUGAAGUGUUAGCUCCCUACAUCUGUUCUUCAACUUAUUUAUUUAUUUAUUUAUUUAAUUUAUUUUUGAGACAGAGUCGACUCACUCUGUCACCAGGCUGGAGUGCAGUGACACGAUCUUGGCUCACUGCAACCUCUGCCUCCUGGGUUCAAGCGAUUCUCCUGCCUCAGCCUCCUGAGUAGCUGGGACUACAGGCACAUGACACCAUGCCCAGCUAAUUUUUGUAUUUUUAGUAGAGACAUCUCUACUAAAGACCCUACUACAUGGGGUUUCAUCAUGUUGGCCAGGAUGGUCUCGAUCUUUUGACCUCAUGAUCCGCCCACCUCGGCCUCCCAAAGUGCUGGGACUAGAGACAUGAGCCACUGCACCCAGCCUGUUCUUCAAUUUUUAAAAGGUGCAUCAAGAAACUGGAAAGGUUAGACAUAAAGUGUGUUAAGAGAAAUACUUCAGCUGAAUUAAGUUUAAAGGAGUUUAAUUGAGCAAUGAAUGAUCUACGAAUCUGGCAGCCCCCAGAAUCACAGCAGAUUCAGAAAGACUCCCAGGGUGCCUCGUAGUCAGAGCACAUUUAUAAACAAAAAGAGUAAAGCGAUGUACAGAAAUCAGAGGCGAGGUACAGAAACAGCUGGAUUGGUUAUGGCUCGGUGUUGGCCUUAUUUGAACAUAGUGUGAACACUCAGCAGUGUUUGAGUGGUUGAAGUACGGCUGCUGGGAUUGGCCAAGAUUCAGCUAUUGUUACAGGUGUGCAUACUCUGAAAUCAGGGUCUCAAUCUUGUCUACCUAUGAAGUUAGUUUGCAGUUCAUCCACAAGGACUAAAAUAUAGAAGUACGGAGUCCUUCUCAAGCCAUAUUUAGUUUGCUUUAACAAGGGUAUAACAUUUGAAUAAAAGUUCUGUCAAAACUUCACUCAGCCAUGGAAAGUGUGAUAAUUAUAGAAUCAGACAGCAGUUUCUUCCUGUCCUAGAAUGCCUGGAUGUGAAGAAGGGCUUGGGAAUUAAGUCCAGUGUUCUAGAAAUGCAAUAGUUACCACAGAGGGGCAAAGACCAAGAGAGGUCUGAAAGCGUGCAGGUGAGUUGAAUUAAGAUGGGAUUUGGCAGGGCGUGGUGGCUAACGCCUGUAAUCCCAUCACUUUAGGAGGCCGAGGCAGGCGGAUCACAAGGUCAGGAGUUCGAGACCAGCCUGACCAAUAUGGUGAAACCUCGUCUCUACUAAAAAUACAAAAAAAAAAAAAAAAAAAUUAGCUGGGCCUGGUGGUGGUGCCUGUAAUCCCAGCUACUCGGGAGGCUGAAGCAGG
rnacentral:lncRNA from 1 species